rnacentral:siRNA from 1 species
CAAAACCUAGGGCGCGAGCCCGGGC